AUUGAACGCUGGCGGCAGGCUUAACACAUGCAAGUCGAGCGGAGCGAGGGUGCUUGCGCCUUAGCUUAGCGGCGGACGGGUGAGUAAUGCUUAGGAAUCUGCCUAUUAGUGGGGGACAACAUUCCGAAAGGAAUGCUAAUACCGCAUACGCCCUACGGGGGAAGCAGGGGGUCUUCGGACCUUGCGCUAAUAGAUGAGCCUAAGUCGGAUUAGCUAGUUGGUGGGGUAAAGGCCUACCAAGGCGACGAUCUGUAGCGGGUCUGAGAGGAUGAUCCACCACACUGGGACUGAGACACGGCCCAGACUCCUACGGGAGGCAGCAGUGGGGAAUAUUGGACAAUGGGCGGAAGCCUGAUCCAGCCAUGCCGCGUGUGUGAAGAAGGCCUUUUGGUUGUAAAGCACUUUAAGCGAGGAGGAGGCUACUUAGAUUAAUACUCUGGGAUAGUGGACGUUACUCGCAGAAUAAGCACCGGCUAACUCUGUGCCAGCAGCCGCCGUAACAC
rnacentral:rRNA from 1 species